CGAACGGCAGCGCGGGGGCUUCGGUCUCUGGCGGCGAGUGGCGGACGGGUGAGUAAUAUAUGGGAACGCGCCCGGCGGCGGGGGAUAACUCUGGGAAACCAGAGCUAAUACCGCAUGCGUUUCGCCUUUCGGGGCGAAAGAAAGCGGGGGACUUCUUCGGAGGCCUCGCACCGGCGGAGCGGCCCAUAUCCGAUUAGCUUGUUGGCGGGGUAACAGCCCACCAAGGCCGCGAUCGGUAGCUGGUCUGAGAGGACGGACAGCCACACCGGGACUGAGACACGGCCCGGACUCCUACGGGAGGCAGCAGUGGGGAAUAUUGGACAAUGGGGGCAACCCUGAUCCAGCAAUGCCGCGUGUGUGAAGAAGGCCUUCGGGUUGUAAAGCACUUUCGCGGGGGAAGAAAAAGCGAGGGGUAAUAUCUCUCGCGCCUGACGGUACCCCGAGAAGAAGCACCGGCUAACUACGUGCCAGCAGCCGCGGUAAUACGUAGGGUGCGAGCGUUAAUCGGAAUUACUGGGCGUAAAGCGUGCGCAGGCGGCCUGUCAAGUCGGGUGUGAAAUCCCCGGGCUCAACCCGGGAAUUGCGCUUGAAACCGGCGGGCUAGAGUACGGCAGAGGAAGGUGGAAUUCCGUGUGUAGCGGUG
rnacentral:rRNA from 1 species